UGGUGGAGUGAUUUGUCUGGUUAAUUCCGUUAACGAACGAGACCUCAACCUGCUAAAUAGUCCGCGGCAUCCUCCGGGAUGUGCGAGGGACUUCUUAGAGGGACUAUUGGUGGCUAGCCGAUGGAAGUUUGAGGCAAUAACA
rnacentral:rRNA from 1 species